GCGCACGUGGCGAAAUUGGCAGACGCGCUACCUUGAGGUGGUAGAGCCGUAAGGUGUGCAGGUUCAAGUCCUGCCGUGCGCACCA
rnacentral:tRNA from 1 species